AAAUAAAUAAAUAAAUAAAUAGAUAAAUAAAUCACAUAUUUACCAAAAAUGAUUUUUUAUUAUUGAUUUUGCUUUACAUCAAAAAUCAAAAACCAAAGGAAAACACUAAAAGCAUACCAAAGGAAAAAACUUAAAAGCACAACUCAGAAGUCUAUGUGAGAGAAUUGCAAAAGUUAAAAAAAAAAUUCUCUUUGAAGCAUGGCCAGAUUAAGAAAGUUACAGAUUUUUGCAUCUCAUUCACAUUAGACACAAAUAACCUCGGAUUCACAUUUCAAAGUAAUAUUUAUGCAGGAUAUGGUCCAACAUUAAAAGAAAUACAUUCUGACUUCUGGAUUCACCUAAUACAAGUCCAACUAAUCAAAGAACUUCAUAUUAUGAACACAAGGAAAAUGUUAACCUCCACAUCAUACUUCUCAAGAUCCGUGUAACACCCCUAUGUUCAUUAGGUCAGUACAUUCCACUGUUCCGGUGACCAGUGUCUGU
rnacentral:misc_RNA from 1 species